GAUGAACGCUGGCGGCGUGCCUAAUACAUGCAAGUCGAACGGAAAGGCCCUGAUCUUGUUGGGCGCUCGAGUGGCGAACGGGUGAGUAUAACGCGUGUAUCACCUCCCUGACUUUCGGAUAACUCUUCGAAACGCGGGAUCUUAUCCGAUAUGAGCUCUUGCUCCAUAGUGGUGGAUGGAAAGUUUCGGCGGUGGGGGAUCGACUCGCGGCUUCCCCGCUUGUUGGGGGGGUAGUGGCUUACCAAGGUUUUGACGGGUAGCCGGCCUGGGAGGGUGGCCGGCCACAUUGGGACUGAGAUACGGCCCAGACUCCUACGGUAGGCAGCAGUGGAGAAUAUUGCACAGUGGGCGGGAGCCUGAUACAGCAACGCCGCGUGCGGGAAGACGGCCUUCGGGUUGUAAACCGCUUUCGCCUGUAACGAAGCGUGAGUGACGGUAAUGAGUAAAGAAGCACCGGCUAACUACGUG
rnacentral:rRNA from 1 species